rnacentral:tRNA from 2 species
AGGGGUAUAGCUCAGUUGGUAGAGCAGCGGUCUCCAAAACCGCGUGUCCAGAGUUCGAGUCUUUGUGCCCCUGCCA